GUAAUAACAUUUGAUUAGAAAGCCAGGAAAAGUGCUUAAUUAUUUUAAUUGCCUACAAUAAGUCAUAUAAAAUUAAUAGAUACCAUUAUGUACUAUAGUACUACUAGAACUACUAUGUUAUUCAAUGUGCAAAGUAUACUUUUAGUGGAAGAACUGUUUGCUUUUCCAAGUUCUAUUUAGUUAUAACAUGCAGUGAAACGUGUCUCCCUGGAAAACAUCCUUAUAUCACAAACACCGCAUCAGUACUCAGCAACACCAGUUAUUCCCUCAGAGGUGCAACAGUCAUUAAACGAUGAAGGCUUAAAUUAAAAAUAGCUAAGCUUCCUCGCACCUGCCAAUAACUAACCAAGAAAAUUUGUGCCAAACUUCUUCAAUUUAAUGAUUCAAAUUAAUGCAUUAAUUGUUUCCCCUGCACCUACCUGAAUUCAAGGGACGCUGUAGCUGAAGUGCUUUAUUAACUGCCCAACAUACAAUGCACAGCAGAUCUGCAAAGAGUUAUAUCUAACCCUCAGUUCCAUAAGUCAGCUUUGAUAAGGUAAUGAUUUACACGUUGCAAGACAAUCAAUGCAUUUCCUCCCUUUACACACUGCUUAGUAACUAUACUCAUAUUUGCCUGACGCUAGACCUUCUGCAACUCUUCAAACAUUUUUUAUGCUUACAUUGAUAUCAUUUCUCAGAACAAUUUAGAUACUAACAUGAAUCUUCACUGAAAAAGAUUAAAUAUAACGAAGAUAGGAAGUAAAAUGAGGCAGAGGAAUACGGUGGUUAAAAGAAAUUUGCAUCCGCCAACAAUAUUUUAAACUCACAGUUAGAAAACUAUGCUGUGAGCUAGUAAGCGUCAACUGCGUACAGAAAGGUUCCUCAAAAUAAGAAGUGACGUUUACUAUUUUAAAGAAAAUUAGAAAUAGGAAAGACCUAGGCCUUAGGUACACAUAUAUUCUCACAUGCUAUUUGUCCUAGAUGUAAAAUUCAAAUUCAGAAAUCAUAAUGAUCUAAGCUUACUACCGAUCUGUUUACUAUCCACAGAAUUACACCUGAAUGGCAUAUUCAUCAUACCUAUAAAGAACACAGAGGCCUAAGACAAGUGGCUAAAACACAGCAAACAAUAUUCAGAGAUCAGAUGAAUGCUUUAGAAGGGCACUGGAAAAACUCAGUCAUGUGUCCUCUUCCUGACUGUGUCUUUGGAUGAAUUCCGUACUAAAAGCAGAAAUGCCAUAGCAAUUUGUACUCUACAUAAUUUAUUUAUAUGCAAAAGAAGCUGCGCCCGAUUACUGUCAGACUGCAAGUCUGAAAAUAAAACCGCCACCGUUAUAAGUCUAGAAUUCAAUUUCUGUGCAGUUUCGAUGUAUUAAAGAUACAUAGAGACAAUAAAACUUUUUAUUUACAGAUUUCAGUAGUGCGGACAACAUUGUAGCCUCCCAGAAUGGCAGUCUUUUAAAUGUAAGUCUACUGACAUUCUAUAUUAACUAUCCUCAUACAGACACUGCAUUAGAAACACGUACAUUAAAACUGUGAGCACUAUAAUUAUCCCUAUUAACAUAAAGCAGUUCUGGAACUGCAUUUGUUUUAUUAUUUCUAAUUGCAUCAACGAAGAUCAAAAUCUGUGUACUGAGCUGAGUACCGAUUGCUCUCAGGGAGUAGUGACAAAGCUCAGUUUUCAAGUUACCUUGCACUUGGAAGACUCCUGUAUGAAAGAAAGUCUCCGACUGCUACUACCAUUCAGCAUACUAAAGCGUCUCUUUGUAUCAGAAGAUUUCAAAACGAUUCCUUUUGUCUGCACCACGGGAGAAUGUGGCAUGCUAAUACAACAUGUAAUUCCUCACAAAUUAUGUUUGCUUCCCACAUUACACCAAACACGUUAUUUCUUUGAGAAAUAGCUGCCAUAUUGCCUUUGCUUAUUUUUCUUCUGAAUGAUCAUUCUUCCUCUUCAAGAAGCUUCACUCUUUUUGACCAAGGGGAAACAGAAAGGAUGUGAAAAGAAAUAAUCAGGAAGCGCGUGUAGUCGCUCACAUCAUCAUCAAGGCAACUGCGACAGACAGCUUCACAAUCGAAGCGGCAGAAGCUAUUACUGUCUCCCCUCCCCCACCAAAAUGGUGAGGAUGGGGCAAACAGUGGGGAUGAAAGCUGUUUAUUAUUUAAGUUCAAGGGAAGCUGCACGUUUCAAGCCACAAAACCUAUGAAUAUUCUAAAUGAAAAAGACCUUCCUUCAACAAAGUUGGAUUUCAGAGGACUGCCUUAAUUUAGAUAGUAAAGGAUAAUAGAAUACGUUUACUUCCUUUCCGCUCUCACAACAUGUUUUGAUACGAAUUGCCAAAGCCUACUGCUCCAUGCUGUUUCAAAACACUUUAAUAGAAACACGCGCAGCGCCUUCAUUGCAUUUUCCUCUACAAUACUCGAAGCGUUCAGCUGCUAUUUUCCCUUGAUGUGACCUACAUAACAAGAGAUCUGCCUCCAUAGAGAUAACAGUUACAAUAGCUGUGGCUGAUGAAAAACAAUGGAGAUGUUUCAUCAAACAUACAGUUCUUAAAUAUUAGAUCUGUUCUAAUGGUCCCAAUUACCUCUUUAAACUAAUAUUUGUGGAAAGCAUCAACCCUCCUACCCAUCCCCUACUGCCCUAAAUGAACUUGUUUAGAAACAAAGUCUUUCUGCAAUCUGGUUUCCAACAAAGCAAAAUAACAGAACGAGAUAUAAACAGAACACAAAUCAACAAAUUCCACAAUGCAGGAAAAUAGCACAAAGUUACUGCACCUUCACGAGUCACUGCAGCACUACUGAGAGACAACAAACCACCUAUCGCAUACAUCUAAUGCACGUGUCAAGCGAGGCACCUCAGAAGGGCAUUUAAGCUAAGGCAGCGUAACAAUGAGACUGGAGAGCAAAAUUAAACAAGUAGAAAUGCUUAGCAAUAACCAACUGAAGGGUAGGAAAGAUAACACUGACUUGUGGUGGGGCCUUCUUAACAUACGAGUCCCACAGCUACAGUCACGCUGUGAUUUCCUUUCUCAGCUGUAGGACUGCACACCUUUGAACUGCAGACCUCACAAAGGAAUACCGCCACAGAGAGAAACUUGUUUACGUUUCACUGCAAGCGCUCAUCAGGCUCAAAUGGCACUGAGACACACAGCACAGCCAUGUGUUUUCCCCCUGGAAGGCGGUCUUGACUAUUACCUUCCCAUAGAUGUAGAAGAACUUCUCACUCGUUUGCAUCUAUCAACUCAAAACGAUGCCUGGGUAGGAGAAUGACUCAAUGUUGUUUUACAAAACCAAACCUCAGGGAAAACUAUAUAAAACCAAGACAUUCACGUUACUUCGUGCCAGUGCACGAAAACACUUUUAAUUCAAAUACACUCCCUGGCACUGUUGGCCACAAGAAAUACAAAUUAUGAUGUUGCAAAAAGGAGUUCACUUUCUGUACACCUAUCAUUUGCUAAACAGCUUACGUAAGCAAAGCAGCCAUCUAAUGAUACACAAAGCCUUCUGCGCUCUCUUAUCCUACAGACAUAUCUUCUAUAAUUACCACUACAUUUAGUAAUUAAUGUUGAUAGGUCUGCAGCUAUUAUUUUGCUUUUCACUAGGUCUUAAAAAUAAAAAAAUUCUACAGUGUAAUUUAAGUGUGAUGGAGUUCCAUGCCCUCUCCCUCCCCCCAGGACAAAUUCACAUCCAAGCUCUAUGACUUCGUGAUAUCCCAUUUUAACAUUCUCCUUCACUUCCUUUCACAAAAGCGGGCUUCAGUACCACUCUGUCAUUUACUAUUUUAAAUAAUUAAAAUACAAUAUAGUAUGAGAUAAAAGAAAAGAAAGGGAAGAAAGUCAACAGACACUACAGAUGCCAAAUUCGUUACGUAGAAAAGGAACAUGUGGUAGGAGAAAGGGAAAAAAAAAACAUGACUAACUUCCUCUAACAGGGGUUUGCAGAUGAAUAAAGGUGCCUAUGCAAGAACUGAACCACAACUGGAGAUGGCAGGAGAGACCUUGCAGCAUAGAAAUGAAGCAAAGGAGUCAGUCGUCACCCAGGUGACAGGAACAACAGCACAGAAACUGAAAAAUCAGCAUUUAUUAAUACAGAAGCAGAAGCCUGUGAAAUCAGUGCUGAAGACUGCAGAGAAGGAAUAUCAGAGAAGAAAAUGUGUCGUGAGAAGAUCUAAACUCUUGGCCUUACCUUGGAAGGAAGCAGCAAGAAAAACACAGAAAUGUAGGGAGCGUGCCGCCAAACCUUCAGCUUAUAGUUACCCCAUCAUCAAUAGCAAAUUCAGCUACGUAUUUUGAUCAUUUAGUUGCAAUUCCACUCAGAAUACCUAGGUCUAAAACAAACAAACAAACCAAACCGGAAAACACACACCAAGAGAAAUUACUUAUUAAAGGAACAUUUCUAUAUUGACAAAUUGGACUUCCUACAUAUUAAGGAGUAUUAAAACCACAUAUUAUGGAUUAAAAACUCUCAGAUCAAAAUUAUUCAACUGCUUACUAGAAAAGAAAACUUGAAAAUCAUGAAGUUGAGCCUACAGCGUACAAUCUACUGAACGAGUACUGAAGUUCAGAAGCAGCUAUCAUUUGUCUAACCUUAAGGUUCCUUUCAAUCUAAAGGAACAAACAAAAAAAAAUAACCCAAAACCACAACACGGCUGCAGCUAUAGGAACAAACAGAAGCCAUCAAAAACUGAAAACAAGAAACAGGAAAACCUGUUAUUCUGUAGUAGAUGCUGAAUGUUACCCUGAAGUGGCCUGCACAGCUUCACAAUUCUAGCCUCAUGCAAAGCUGAAGUUUCAUUUCCACGUUCCUGCCUGCCGCUAUGUUUUCUCAUCCAGAUGAGGAAAGUGAAGUUGGCUCAGUGUCUGUCAAGCACUGGACUACACAAGACAAAUAUUAAGCAAUACGAACCAGACUCAAUUUGCAUUUUGGGUCCACAUGAGUACUGCUCAGAAAUUUAAUCAGGUGGCAGAAAGUAAACAGACACCACUCAUCAGUUUCUGCACAACUUGUAAGAAGCUAGGAGUUCUGUGAGCACGUCGGUGAUGAAGUUACCUGGUUUCUUCCUAUAAGCUAAUGCUCAGAUCCAGUAAAGAAGUUCGCUAAACAGCACGGUUUCAGCAGGCUCCGACAUCCUGACCUGCAGACAGUGGUUUCUGCACCCUAGGUGGCCUGAUGCACGCCUUCGUGCGCUGCUUUUGAACCUGGAUGUCAGGGGUGGCCAUCCUGCUCCUCCUUUUCCACAUCAGGGGACUGUAACUCUAAUGAGAGCUCCAACAACGUUUCCAGGAAGAACAUUAAUGAUUAACAAGAAUCUCCAAUGAAGAAUACAGACAUUCUUCAAUCCAAAGCCUCAGAAUACAACCUUCAGCAAAGCCAAUCCUAUCUGCAAAGCAGGAGAUCUAAACCAGAACCUAAACACCUCUGUGGCACUGCUCUCUACCAUACACCUGCUUCUCUGAAAUGCAACUCUUGAAGAAGUAUGUCUGAAUAGAGAGCAAAAUGAAGCUAAUGCCUGCGUGACUUCGUUGAAGUACAGUGCCAACUGAUUAUGACUGGGCCAUCUAGCAGCAUUCCUCCUUGGAGGACAGGACAGGAAAUAUAUAUAUUGUCUAGUUACAAACGUGAUUUUAGAUAAGGGGAAAGCAACAACAGGAAAUACAUAUGAAUCAAAGAUUUCGGCACAUUACUCAAUGCUGCGUAAGAUGAUCUCGUGCAGUGGGUGCUGUAGCUUUGGUAUCUUGAGAGUCACCACUUUUUCUAGAUUUGAGGACAUUAACAAAACCUUACUCGUGCACUUCUAAGUAAACUUUUAUGCUAAGAACAAGGAUUCGCACACACGAACCUCACCCAGAUGCCACAUACUGCUUACAUUUCAGCACGCUCAGUAAGCACGCUUUAUUCAGAAGCACUAAAAAAAAUGACGUGCUGCAGAACGCACACCGUUCCCACGCUACUUCCACCCUCGCUGCGACACACGCGCGUCAUCGCUCCCGAAUUCACACAUCCUUCUGCGGGGUUCAGGCUGACAGCAACCUCCAGGAGACGCCCGGGGGUGUCCCGCGCGCGGCGCGGCGCCCACAGGGCCGGCUGGCUCCUAGCCACGGGCUGAGGGCGCUGCCUGGGGCAGAAACACCGUCCCACGCGUGGCUCUCCGCCCCGCUCCCACAGGCAGGAAGGGGAGCAGCAGCAGCAGCCCGAGCCCUGCAGAGCGCGCCCCCAGCCCCCCUCAGUCUGUAUGCAGAACAAUGCGUGUGAACUGUAGAAGGAAACUCUUGAUGUAUGAAUAUCAAACACUGCUCUCACAAGCCACAGGCACAGUUUCUAUACCAGCUGACUCAAAGGUUCUCAGAUGCCCCGAGGAUAAGACUCAGCCACACCUGCUGGGUUAGGGCAGGACUUGGCUGCUCUUGCUGUCUGCAAGGAGUGAUAAUUGCUGGGGGAGCAUCUACUUCUUUCUGCACAGCUGCCCGACACACAGGCUCCCAGUCUCCUUCCUUGGGAGCAACAGCCCAGCCUUCCAGGGCACUAGCAAAGAGCUCUAGGUGGUCCCGGCCUCCAAUGACUCUUCCCAACUACUGCCUGAUGGGAAAGCAUCAAUUUCUUGGGGCUCAUCCUGAGAGGACUUAAGAGAUCUCAAGCUCCCAUCGCUGUCACCGAGAAAUCUGGAUAAAAAAGAGCCUUGUGAGCCUGUCCUUACAGCUUUAAAUAAAUCCCCUGGGGAGCUGCAGAUCCAGCCUGGAACACCGUGGGAGGCUGAGGCCGCUUCCUGCUCACAGGGGAGGUGAGGCUUGUAAUGGUCCCUCCCUAUAGCCAGGGGUUUCUGAAUUCAUCUGUGAUGCUGAGUUGUUUUGCAGUACAGGCAGGUGUUCAACACAUGCACUACUUGCCUCAGUUUGUUGCUUCAUCCUUAUUUAUGACAGCAAGAAAGCUCUUCAUGCUGCCUCUCUCGAUUGCAUUUUGGAGGUAGUCCUCUGGCCAAAGACUUGCAACACCGUCUCAUUUGCUUGCACAAAUCAUUAUCACUGUGGGUACAGAAAAAUAAAUUGUCAAGAAUUAAGUAAGGAAAUGUAAACACCAAGGCUACUGAAGUGCAGGAUGGGCCCCACCAAGCCGUGUAACAGGAAGAGCUAAAGCCAGUGAGGUCUCACCAUUCAGUGCUUGGUGCUUUAGGUGCAAGAUGCCUGUUGCAGCACUCUGAAGUGCACACAAAUGAUGUUUAGUUGCCAAUGCAAGCAUCUUAACUGCUGACCAGUGAGAAUGGGCAAAACAGCAAGUGGAGACACUGCAUUAACGUAGCAAAGGCAAGCCCUGAUUAUUUCACAGUCAUCUGAUAACAGUGCAAAGUAUCAUCUGUCACAUGCCCAAGGUA